rnacentral:rRNA from 1 species
AGCGAACGCUGGCGGCAGGCCUAACACAUGCAAGUCGAACGGAUCCUUCGGGAUUAGUGGCGGACGGGUGAGUAACACGUGGGAACGUGCCUUUAGGUUCGGAACAACUCAGGGAAACUUGAGCUAAUACCGGAUGUGCCCUUAGGGGGAAAGAUUUAUCGCCUUUAGAGCGGCCCGCGUCUGAUUAGCUAGUUGGUGAGGUAAAGGCUCACCAAGGCGACGAUCAGUAGCUGGUCUGAGAGGAUGACCAGCCACAUUGGGACUGAGACACGGCCCAAACUCCUACGGGAGGCAGCAGUGGGGAAUCUUGCGCAAUGGGCGAAAGCCUGACGCAGCCAUGCCGCGUGUAUGAUGAAGGUCUUAGGAUUGUAAAAUACUUUCACCGGUGAAGAUAAUGACUGUAGCCGGAGAAGAAGCCCCGGCUAACUUCGUGCCAGCCGCCGCAGUAA